CGUUGGACAUUCGUACCAUUAUAUUGACAUCCACAACUCAAAAGAGUGGUUAAAAAGUUAUUCAAAAUCUUAUCUAGUCCAACCGCCCAUGGUGACCAGGAGAUGCAUCAUGCUUACAACAGAAGUGUCUUUUAAUCAAAACAAGAGCAAAUCCUUAACCGAGGUAUGUCAGAAAGUAAAACUGGUACCCUGGUUUAAAUCGAAUGGCUUCCCUGUUCACCCGUAAAGGCUUACAGAUUUCGACUUGGGGCAUCCACAUAAGCGGCAGAAUCUCAAGAUCACAUCUUAAUUCAUUGCAAAGUGGCACACAAGGUUUGGUCUUCAUUAACUCCAGAUAAAGAUUGGGCAUGGGCAUGGGCUCUUCAUUAACCACAUUUCUGGCAAUUCUUGGAAAAUUAUAUGGAAUUUAAUUCCGGCAGCGGAUUAUUUGGACGCUAUGGAAUGAGAGAAAUUGUCGAAUUUUUGAAAAAAAGUAAAUCUUCAAGACGGAUGGAGAUCUAUGUGAUAAUGCUAAGGUUCUUUUUCUCUUUUUGGCUGCUGCGGCUGGAAACAAAAUCCAUGCAAAUUUUUCACACACCAUCAUAAACUGGGCAUCUGUA